GCAUAUCAAUAAGCGGAGGAAAAGAAAAUAACAAUGAUUCCCCUAGUAACUGCGAGUGAAGAGGGACAAGCUCAAAUUUUAAAUCUGUUAGGUUCUACCUGACCGAGUUGUAAUUUGAAGAGGCGUUUUCUGUGAUUCUGAUCAGUCCAAGUCCUUUGGGAUAAGGCAUCACGGAGGGUGAGAAUCCCGUUCGGUUGAUCAGGUCACUUUACGAUACGCCAUCAAAGAGUCAAGUUGUUUGGGAUUGCAGCUUAAAAUGGGAGGUAAAUUUCUCCUAAGGCUAAAUAACGGCGAGAGACCGAUAGCGAACAAGUACCGUGAGGGAAAGAUGAAAAGAACUUUGAAAAGAGAGUUAAACAGUACGUGAAAUUGUUGAAAGGGAAACGAUUAAAGCCAGUCGUACCGGCGGGUAAUCAGCCUUUUGGGUGUGAUUAUGUGGAACGUGAGGAGUUUAAUCGCCUUCAUGCCUGCAUAUUCGUGCACUUUGGGUGUACUUGCUCGUGUUGGUAGGUUAACAUCAAUUUCGAUCAUCAUAAAAUGAUUGGGGGAAUGUAGCUUCGAUCUCGUGUUGAAGUGUUAUAGACUCUGGUAGAUGUGAUGAUCGGGAUUGAGGAUUGCAACGGAUACUCUUAUGGGCUACCCGUCUGAUCUCUGAGAGUUACUCUGGUGCCGAAAGCGUGCUUACGGUAUCAAAGUUGACGUUCAAUAGGUUAGAACGGGUUAAAUUCGUUAAGGAUGUUGACGUAAUGGCUUUAAACGAC
rnacentral:rRNA from 1 species